rnacentral:rRNA from 1 species
AUUGAACGCUGGCGGCAGGCCUAACACAUGCAAGUCGAGCGGAUGAUGGGAGCUUGCUCCUUGAUUCAGCGGCGGACGGGGGAGUAAUGCCUAGGAAUCUGCCUGGUAGUGGGGGACAACGUUUCGAAAGGAACGCUAAUACCGCAUACGUCCUACGGGAGAAAGCAGGGGAACUUCGGGCCUUGCGCUAUCAGAUGAGCCUAGGUCGGAUUAGCUUGUUGGUGAGGUAAUGGCUCACCAAGGCGACGAUCCGUAACUGGUCUGAGAGGAUGAUCAGUCACACUGGAACUGAGACACGGUCCAGACUACUACGGGAGGCAGCAGUGGGGAAUAUUGGACAAUGGGCGAAAGCCUGAUCCAGCCAUGCCGCGUGUGUGAAGAAGGUCUUCGGAUUGUAAAGCACUUUAAGUUGGGAGGAAGGGUUGUAGAUUAAUACUCUGCAAUUUUGACGUUACCGACAGAAUAAGCACCGGCUAACUCUGUGCCAGCCGCCGCCGUAACAC